UGAAUGAAUUAAGAUCUUUAUGGCAAGAAAGAAUUCCUUUUUUUUUGUCCCCAUGUGUAUGCUGCCUCCCUCCCUCCUUCCCUUUUCCCCUCUCACCCUCUUGUUUCUUACAUUCUGCUUUUUGCUAUGAGAUGAUAGAUAUAGUGAGAAGGUAUUCACCAGGCAUUGUCCUCAAUUUUAGAUUUCCAGCCUCCAGAAUAGUCAGAGAUUUCUACCUGUCAGAAAUUACCCAGUGUACAACAUUCUUUUAGAGCAGCGCAAGAUCAACAACUAGAAGAAGUUGGUUCCAGAAGAGUAGGGCGUUCCUGUAAUAAGCAUCUGAAAAUGUGGACAUAGUUUUAGAAUUGAGUAAUUAGAAGAGGCAUUUGGAGAGGCAGGCUAGAAACAGCCUGGGUUGCUGUAAGCAGAGUGUUAGAGGAAGUUGUCAUGAGGGCUUAGCAAGGAGAGCUGUAGGGAAAGUGAAUUUUAAGAUACCACAAAUGGGAUGCCCAAGACUGUUCUGAGGAAGCAGAAAUAGAAACUAAGUGUUGAGAACUGGAGUAAAGGUUAUCAUUGUUCCAAGCUGAAAAGAAGGUCAUUAUGUAUGUGACAAGGCGUUCUACAGGAUGAAUCUUAAGAUUGUUCUCAAGAUACCUAGUGGAAGAAAUCUCCUUUCUUUGUUAUACAGGGGACUGAACCCAGACCCUAGCACAUGGCACUGCAGUACUUCCGCUGCUGUCUUCCAUCUUACUGGAUCAUAAGGAGUAUCCCAACCCAGAGACAUUUGACCCAGGACACUUUCUGGAUUACGAUGGCUGCUUCAAGAAAACAGACUGCUUUGUUCCUUUCUCCCUUGGAUGUGGUCCUGCAUUGGUGAGAGUUUGGCUCAUAUGGAGCUGUUACUGUUCUUCACCACCAUUCUGCAAAAGUUUUCCCUAAAGUCUCGGGUGGAGCCAAGAGACCUAGAUAGCAACCCCAUUGCUACUGGGCUUAUCAGUCUUCCCCCACCUUAAAAAUUGUGUCUCAUUUCUAGAUAAGAGUUUAUUCUUUUAGUCAUUCAAAUCGAAGUGAUUGGUUCCUUUUUCUAUAAUCUCUUUAUUCUUAGCACUGGCUAGUCUAGCAACAUUAUUCAUUAAAACCACAUGGACAUUUUUGUCUGUAUUCCUCACCUCCUCUAUAAACCAGACCCCAAAACUGACAGCAGGUCCCAGAAGGCCUUCAUCAGACGCUAUCAGCAAGUAGCAGAGCUUCUUCUUAUAUGGCUUGGAAAUAAACUUAUUUUCUGUCACUUUUACAACAGAGAAAUUAAUGUAUGGCCUACAUACUUUUUCCCGUUCUCAGGUCAAAGUAUUUAUAUGGUUUGUAUCACAUUCACAAAACAAAUUUUUAUCCCAACAAUAGAGUUUCUUUGUAAGUUUGACUUUAUCUUGUCGUAAAAACAAAAACAAAGCAAAACAAAGAACUCUCUUUGACCCAUAGAUAAUCCACUAGAAGGAUGAGAUAAAUAGGUAAUCUGUCACAAUGCUCUCCCUACUCCCCCUCCCAUCUGUUUGCAGUCAUUGGUUUGCAUGUGGCCCAGAGAGCAUCCUUAAGAAGUUAAACCACAUCCAGUGUUAGGACUCAGACGUUCAUGACUGGGCCCUUUUGACAGUCACAGGACUGGAAUUAGGGGCAAAGAGCAAGAGGGCCAGUUGCAGAAAGACUACACCUUGCCAAGAGGACAGUGGGUACACAGGAGAACAGCAAUGACAGCUGCUCUAGAAAUGGCAGAGUUCAGUGAGCAGCAGCUGCCACCAAUUGGGUCAAAAACCAACAACCAGACCUGCCUGAUCUGGGGACACUGGAAAUGAGAAAGAGUGUGAAAAUAAAGCUGAGACAGGAGAAUGGAAAGACAAGCUGCAGAAAAUGUUCUCAAAGGAUGUGUCUCAUGAAGAAUGAUUACCCCAAAUACUCUGAAAACUCAAUUUGAGGUUGAAACAGUUAAAAACAGGGCAUAAGAGCUGAAGAGACACCUCACUUCUGGAGACACACAACUGACAAAUAAGCCAGUGAGAAGUUGCGCAGCAUUGUACCUCAGUCAAAGAGAUGCAAAUAAAGAAGAGAUGCGUUCACAGCCUUCAGAAACGUUGAAGCUGAACACAGCCUUCAUCUCUCACUGAGAUGCGAAGCUGGAGCAGUGACCCUGUUGACUGGAAUGCAAAACCAUACAGCCACCUUAUAAGACAGCUUAGCUGUUUCUUACAAAGCUAAGCAUAUGCUCAGUGUAUGACCCAGCACUUAUGAAAAGUAGUUAGGCAAUAGACAAACUAGGCUAGUGAUAACCAGGCAGGAAGAGGGGAAUGGAGCAAGUCUUUAUUGAAAAUAGAGUUUCAGAGGAAGGUAAAAAUGCUCCAACUAGAUGUGGUGAGGGAUGGUUACACAAUGAUGCAAAUGUAUACAGUGUCAUUGGGAAAUGUCACUUUCCAUGUGGUGAAGACAGAAAAUGCUAUGUCAUGUGUAACUUACAUGUAUGAAAAUGUAUAUGUAGCUGGAAGUUUCGCUCCUGCCCACCAGUUCUCAACCGCUCUGAGGCUUAAUAUUAAUUACAAACUGUUUGGCCUAUUAGCUCAGGCUUA